GCUAACGUCCGUCGUGAAGAGGGAAACAACCCAGACCGCCAGCUAAGGUCCCAAAGUCAUGGUUAAGUGGGAAACGAUGUGGGAAGGCCCAGACAGCCAGGAUGUUGGCUUAGAAGCAGCCAUCAUUUAAAGAAAGCGUAAUAGCUCACUGGUCGAGUCGGCCUGCGCGGAAGAUGUAACGGGGCUAAACCAUGCACCGAAGCUGCGGCAGCGACACUAUGUGUUGUUGGGUAGGGGAGCGUUCUGUAAGCCUGUGAAGGUGGCCUGUGAGGGUUGCUGGAGGUAUCAGAAGUGCGAAUGCUGACAUAAGUAACGAUAAAGCGGGUGAAAAGCCCGCUCGCCGGAAGACCAAGGGUUCCUGUCCAACGUUAAUCGGGGCAGGGUGAGUCGACCCCUAAGGCGAGGCCGAAAGGCGUAGUCGAUGGGAAACAGGUUAAUAUUCCUGUACUUGGUGUUACUGCGAAGGGGGGACGGAGAAGGCUAUGUUGGCCGGGCGACGGUUGUCCCGGUUUAAGCGUGUAGGCUGGUUUUCCAGGCAAAUCCGGAAAACCAAGGCUGAGGCGUGAUGACGAGGCACUACGGUGCUGAAGCGACAAAUGCCCUGCUUCCAGGAAAAGCCUCUAAGCAUCAGGUAACAUCAAAUCGUACCCCAAACCGACACAGGUGGUCAGGUAGAGAAUACCAAGGCGCUUGAGAGAACUCGGGUGAAGGAACUAGGCAAAAUGGUGCCGUAACUUCGGGAGAAGGCACGCUGAUAUGUAGGUGAAGCGACUUGCUCGUGGAGCUGAAAUCAGUCGAAGAUACCAGCUGGCUGCAACUGUUUAUUAAAAACACAGCACUGUGCAAACACGAAAGUGGACGUAUACGGUGUGACGCCUGCCCGGUGCCGGAAGGUUAAUUGAUGGGGUUAGCGGUAACGCGAAGCUCUUGAUCGAAGCCCCGGUAAACGGCGGCCGUAACUAUAACGGUCCUAAGGUAGCGAAAUUCCUUGUCGGGUAAGUUCCGACCUGCACGAAUGGCGUAAUGAUGGCCAGGCUGUCUCCACCCGAGACUCAGUGAAAUUGAACUCGCUGUGAAGAUGCAGUGUACCCGCGGCAAGACGGAAAGACCCCGUGAACCUUUACUAUAGCUUGACACUGAACAUUGAGCCUUGAUGUGUAGGAUAGGUGGGAGGCUUUGAAGUGUGGACGCCAGUCUGCAUGGAGCCGACCUUGAAAUACCACCCUUUAAUGUUUGAUGUUCUAACGUUGGCCCGUAAUCCGGGUUGCGGACAGUGUCUGGUGGGUAGUUUGACUGGGGCGGUCUCCUCCUAAAGAGUAACGGAGGAGCACGAAGGUUGGCUAAUCCUGGUCGGACAUCAGGAGGUUAGUGCAAUGGCAUAAGCCAGCUUGACUGCGAGCGUGACGGCGCGAGCAGGUGCGAAAGCAGGUCAUAGUGAUCCGGUGGUUCUGAAUGGAAGGGCCAUCGCUCAACGGAUAAAAGGUACUCCGGGGAUAACAGGCUGAUACCGCCCAAGAGUUCAUAUCGACGGCGGUGUUUGGCACCUCGAUGUCGGCUCAUCACAUCCUGGGGCUGAAGUAGGUCCCAAGGGUAUGGCUGUUCGCCAUUUAAAGUGGUACGCGAGCUGGGUUUAGAACGUCGUGAGACAGUUCGGUCCCUAUCUGCCGUGGGCGCUGGAGAACUGAGGGGGGCUGCUCCUAGUACGAGAGGACCGGAGUGGACGCAUCACUGGUGUUCGGGUUGUCAUGCCAAUGGCACUGCCCGGUAGCUAAAUGCGGAAGAGAUAAGUGCUGAAAGCAUCUAAGCACGAAACUUGCCCCGAGAUGAGUUCUCCCUGAGACUUAGAGUCUCCUGAAGGAACGUUGAAGACGACGACGUUGAUAGGCCGGGUGUGUAAGCGCAGCGAUGCGUUGAGCUAACCGGUACUAAUGAACCGUGAGGCUUAACCUU
rnacentral:rRNA from 1 species